rnacentral:rRNA from 1 species
UACGUAGGUGGCAAGCGUUGUCCGGAAUUAUUGGGCGUAAAGCGCGCGCAGGCGGUCCUUUAAGUCUGAUGUGAAAGCCCACGGCUCAACCGUGGAGGGUCAUUGGAAACUGGGGGACUUGAGUGCAGAAGAGGAAAGCGGAAUUCCACGUGUAGCGGUGAAAUGCGUAGAGAUAUGGAGGAACACCAGUGGCGAAGGCGGCUUCCUGGUCUGUAACUGACACUGAGGCGCGAAAGCGUGGGGAGCAAACAGG